UACGGGGGGGGCAAGCGUUGUUCGGAAUUACUGGGCGUAAAGGGUUCGUAGGUGGCCAACUAAGUCAUACGUGAAAUCCCUCAGCUUAACUGGGGAACUGCGUCUGAUACUGGUUGGCUUGAGUGCAGGAGAGGAACGCGGAAUUCCAGGUGUAGCGGUGGAAUGCGUAGAGAUCGGGAAGAACACCCGUGGCGAAGGCGGCCAGCUGGGCCGGUUCUGACGCUGAGGCGCGAAAGCGUGGGGAGCAAACAGG
rnacentral:rRNA from 1 species